UACGGAAGGCAGCAGUGGGGAAUAUUGCACAAUGGGCGCAAGCCUGAUGCAGCCAUGCCGCGUGUAUGAAAAAGGCCUUCGGGUUGUAAAGUACUUUCAGUCGUGAGGAAGGUGUUAAGGUUAAUAACCUUAGCAAUUGACGUUAGCGACAGAAGAAGCACCGGCUAACUCCGUGCCAGCAGCCGCGGUAAUACGGAGGGUGCGAGCGUUAAUCGGAAUUACUGGGCGUAAAGGGCACGCAGGCGGUUAAUUAAGUUGGAUGUGAAAUCCCCGGGCUUAACCUGGGAAUGGCAUUCAAGACUGGUUAGCUAGAGUCUUGUAGAGGGGGUAGAAUUCCAUGUGUAGCGGUGAAAUGCGUAGAGAUGUGGAGGAAUACCGGUGGCGAAGGCGGCCCCUGGCAAAGGACUGACGCUCAUGUGCGAAAGCGUGGGGAGCAAAC
rnacentral:rRNA from 1 species